rnacentral:tRNA from 1 species
AGGGGUAUAGCUCAGGGUUAGAGCAUUAGACUGUGAACCAAGAGGCCACCAGUUCGAUUCUGGAUACCCCCU